CACCUACGGGAGGCAGCAGUCGGGAAUAUUGCGCAAUGGAGGAAACUCUGACGCAGUGACGCCGCGUAUAGGAAGAAGGUUUUCGGAUUGUAAACUAUUGUCGUUAGGGAAGAUAAAAGACUGUACCUAAGGAGGAAGCCCCGGCUAACUAUGUGCCAGCAGCCGCGGUAAUACGGAGGAUGCGAGCGUUAUCCGGAUUUAUUGGGUUUAAAGGGUGCGCAGGCGGAAUGUCAAGUCAGCGGUAAAAUUUCGGGGCUCAACCCCGUCGUGCCGUUGAAACUGGCGUUCUUGAGUGAGCGAGAAGG
rnacentral:rRNA from 1 species